GGAUGAACGCUGGCGGCGUGCUUGAUACAUGCAAGUCGAACGGAGAGUGUAGCAAUAUACUUUUAGUGGCGAACGGGUGAGUAACGCGCUGGUGACCUGCCCCGAAGCGAGGGAUAACAGUUCGAAAGAACUGCUAAUACCUCAUGUGAUCACCGGUUUUAGAAUCUGGUGAUUAAAGGUGAAAAUCACUUCGGGAGGGGCCUGCGUCCCAUCAGCUAGUUGGUAAGGUAAUGGCUUACCAAGGCGAUGACGGGUAGGGGACCUGAGAGGGUGGCCCCCCACAAUGGAACUGAAACACGGUCCAUACACCUACGGGUGGCAGCAGUAGGGAAUAUUGCAAAUGGGCGAAAGCCUGAUGUAGCAACGCCGCGUGUGCGAUGAAGGUCUUCGGAUUGUAAAGCACUUUUUGGAGGGAUGAGGAAGGACAGUACCUCCAGAAUAAGCCUCGGCUAACUACGUGCCAGCAGCCGCGGUAACACGUAGGAGGCAAGCGUUAUUCGGAUUUACUGGGCGUAAAGCGCGUGCAGGCGGUUUGGAAAGUUGGAUGUGAAAGCUCCUGGCUCAACUGGGAGAGGUCGUUCAAAACUUCCAGACUUGAGAGUGGUAGAGGGAGGUGGAAUUCCGGGUGUAGUGGUGAAAUGCGUAGAUAUCCGGAGGAACACCAGAAGCGAAGGCGGCGCCCUGGGCUGCACCUGACACUGAACCGCGAAGGCGUGGGUAGCGAACGGGAUUAGAAACCCCGGUAGUCCACGCGGUAAACGAUGUCAGCUGGGUGUUGGGGGGGUAAAAGCUCUCAGUGCCGAAGCAACGCGAUAAGUUGACCGCCUGGGGAGUACGGCCGCAAGGCUAAAACUCAAAGGAUUGACGGGAGCCCGCACAAGC
rnacentral:rRNA from 1 species